AAAGCCAGAGGAGAACCCAGCCAACUUGAAGCAAUUUGUGCUAAACAAACUUGAAAAUGCAGCAGAUCAACAUUUAAGGACAGUAGUAGAAGCAACUGAGCUAGAUAAUAUUGUAUCUUCUCCUCUAAGAUAUAGACAUCCGUGGGAGUUGAUAUGGGGAAAUAUAAGCAAAGGCAAUGUUUGUGUGGCUGGAGAUGCUCUCCAUCCCAUG
rnacentral:misc_RNA from 1 species